AGGAGGAAGAAAAAAAUGGGAAAUUACUUACCUCGAUGAACACGGUUUUCAACAGCCCACCGGAGACCGCAGUGAUGUUUGCUGUGAUGAUUUUGAGCUUCAAAGAUUCAAAAACCUCACACAAUUUGACCAUCGUGUCCAUCCUUUUGCUGCAUGUUAUGCUCACCACCAUUGUCUUUUCACCCAUGUGCGUCACUUUCAGCUUCCAAAACCAAAAUUAAUUGAAAUUUGUAAGUAAUU